rnacentral:snRNA from 1 species
UUACUUACAUGGCAGGGGAGAUACUAUGAUCAUGAAGGUGGUUUCCCAGGUCAAGGCUUAUCCAUUGCACUGGGAAUCUGCUGACCCCCCUGAUUUCCCAAAAGGUGGGAAACUUGACUGCAUAAUUUGUGGUAGUGGGGGACUGUGUUUGUGCUCUCCCCUG